rnacentral:rRNA from 1 species
GAUGAACGCUGGCGGCGUGCCUAAUACAUGCAAGUCGAGCGAAUGGAUUAAGAGCUUGCUCUUAUGAAGUUAGCGGCGGACGGGUGAGUAACACGUGGGUAACCUGCCCAUAAGACUGGGAUAACUCCGGGAAACCGGGGCUAAUACCGGAUAAUAUUCUGAACUGCAUGGUUCAAAAUUGAAAGGCGGCUUCGGCUGUCACUUAUGGAUGGACCCGCGUCGCAUUAGCUAGUUGGUGAGGUAACGGCUCACCAAGGCAACGAUGCGUAGCCGACCUGAGAGGGUGAUCGGCCACACCGGGACUGAGACACGGCCCAGACUCCUACGGGAGGCAGCAGUAGGGAAUCUUCCGCAAUGGACGAAAGUCUGACGGAGCAACGCCGCGUGAGUGAUGAAGGCUUUCGGGUCGUAAAACUCUGUUGUUAGGGAAGAACAAGUGCUAGUUGAAUAAGCUGGCACCUUGACGGUACCUAACCAGAAAGCCACGGCUAACUACGUGCCAGCCGCCGCGGUAA